rnacentral:rRNA from 1 species
UACGAAGGAUGCAAGCGUUAUCCGGAUUUAUUGGGUUUAAAGGGUGCGUAGGCGGUCCUGUAAGUCAGUUGUGAAAUACGGCAGCUUAACUGUCGAGGUGCAAUUGAUACUGCGGGGCUAGAGUACAGAUGAGGUAGGCGGAAUUGACGGUGUAGCGGUGAAAUGCUUAGAUAUCGUCAAGAACACCUAUAGCGAAGGCAGCUUACUAGGCUGUAACUGACGCUGAGGCACGAAAGUGUGGGGAUCAAACAGG